AGAUAUGCUGAUUUUUUUUAAAUCGGGACUUGAAAUCCGGUUCUCCACUGGGGAGCGGGGGUUCAAAUCCCUCCCUCU
rnacentral:tRNA from 1 species